UUCCAGCCGAGCCGCCAGGACUAAUUUGGCUCCUUCCACCUAAUUUUUGGUAAUUAAAUCAAUUAUUUUGGCAUUAUCCAGUAAGAUUCAAUAUUUUGGGCACUAGUUAAUUUAAUUUGGAAUUAAAUUAGAUCAUUUUUCCUUAAGGGACGUCUUGGACCAAGUAACUGCUGCAGCGGGGGAUUUCUUCAGUAGGGGCUUGAGCACUGCAAUCUCCUUCUAGGUUAGGACCUCGUCGCUUGGAAAGCGUACUGCCUCGCGGUUAGGACUCGUCAAGUAAAUCUCCAGGUAGAGGACGGGGCAAGGGCAAGGGCAAGCUGGCGAGCGACCCGAAGUGAGACCAUGGAGGGCCAUAGGGACUACCGCUUCCGCUUAUUCUUAUUUCAGAUUUUCGCAUUUGAAUUUGAGUACUUUUCAUCACCUACCAUCUUUUAUGUAGAUAGGGCCCGAGUAGGAUUUCAGAACGCUUUUACAUUUUUGCA